AGGUGUCUUCCAGGAUAAGGGCAUGUCUCUUCUCUUUUGCUGCGCUGUGAGCUUCGGGGGUUCUUGCGUGGCCUUGGGGUUGUUUUAUUUCAGGAAUCCGUCAGGCCUAACAUGCGGGUUACAAGAAGCUCCGAGGUUCGGUCUGGGGAGCAGUCAGGGAAGCCUUUCGAUAGGGCUUCACUGUAGUUUGGCCCACUAGGGAACGAGUGGUGGUGACCUGAGAGGCGAAGUGUUUGUCACCUGGAAUCCUACAGUUCUGUGUAACGGAAACCAGCAAGCAGAGCCAGUUUGACGCUGCUUUUACCUGUCAACCAAGGAGUGGUCACAAUGCGACAGUGGAGGAUGUUGUCCGUGAGCAGACAAGCCUUUGUCGGCCCACAGGCGAAUUGGGAAAUGAGCACCUCUAGCUCCUUUCAGUUUUAUCAUUUUGUUGUCUUCUUUGCGAAGACUCCUCUUGAUUUGCCCUCGGAGGGCUCUGCUACACCUGACAUCUGAGACCCCUAUCUCGCAUAUUCCACAGACGGUACCAGCUCGCUGGCUGCUCCUGCCCGGCGGGAGGUCUGCCGUGGCCCGAGCCUGUGCAGAGGGCCAGACUGCCUCACUGGUCAUGACAUUCCUUACUGGAUUUGGACCCCGUGGACAGCUGGGUAACUGAUGUCUUCAUUACCCAUUUUGGGCAUAGUGCAUGGAGCUUUUUAAAAAUACAGCAGGAGAGCGGCAGAGGUGAACUUGGUGCAAUAUGAAAACUAUCAAGUAAAACUACUGAAAUGUGGCCGCUUCAAAAAUAUAACAUUUCAAUGAAUUAAAAACCACUUUUAUGUGACACUCACAUGUAUUUUCCAAAUGUAAGCAUGUCUAUAAAGGCCUCAAAUAGUCCUUACCUAGACGUUGUCAGUCUCUGGUCCCUCUCCACACUUGUGCUGCCUCAGAAGCUGCAGUUUCUCUGCUCAAGCAUGUUGGACUAAGUUACUAAACCGGGCCUGGGUGUGCCAUAUAUCCUUGCUCUGAACUUGGACUCUGCCCUCCCAGGUACUUGGCUGUGCUUUGCUUCAUCUCUUAUUCAUGCUGGGUUGCAUUUCCAAAGGAACUCAUUCUGAAGUACACUCAGACCUGAUCUGACCUUGAAAGUAGAUGGUGAUGGAAACUGAACCUCCAGUUGUCAACACAGGAUGGAAAGUUGAAGCCCACUCCUUGUGAUGACAUCAUAAGUCCUUCCCAGAUAAAGUGACAUUGGUUUGUUUUUGUUUUAUUGGUGCUCAGAUUAUUUAGAAAGUGAGUGUCAUCCAACUACUUUUGCUUACUAAAAUUAUUUUUUCAUUCUUUGGCAUGUAUAAGAUGGGGAGGGAGCCAAGGUACUUUCAAAGGCAUUGAAACGAACGUGAAACAUUUGAUGUACCUUUGAGUGACUUGCCAGGAGCUUCCCCAGAGCAAAAUCACAGCACGCGAGACUGAAAUUUCAGAGCCGAAGCAGAUACACUUCCCAUCCUCUCACUGCCCGGGAGUCUACAGGAGGUCCUUGAGAAAUGGGAUGUGCCUCUGGUACUCAUAUUCAGUCUCUGCACACUUCUCCAGUUCUUCUGAAUUAGUUCCCUAAUCUUUCAUGUAUGUCCUUAAAGACAGACUUGCUUGUAUAGGAGUCUUCCAUGGGCUGCUUUUGAUGCCCUUUUGUUUCCUGUUUUUGUUUGUUCACUCCAGGCUUCUAGAUGUGAAUGUAUUCCCCCUACCCCAGAAAUAUAAAAGUAGGUCAUCUCUUCUGGUAAAAUAGCUCCGUAGAUUCCUGGGAUUCUGAAAAUAACAGCAAUAAGGCAUCAUUAUAGCCAUUCAGCAAACUUCUUUUGAGAACUGAAACUCCCUGCCACUGUACCAGUGGAUAUAUUGUUUAGAAAUGGGCUGGUUUUUCUGUAUUUUGAUGUCCUAUUGAGGUUACAUGGUCCCACAGGUUGCUUGAGCAAGGGACAUGGUUUGGAAUUUGCCCUUAUAGGAGGUCAUUCCAGUGGACAUGUCAGGGAAGACAGACAGAUCCUCUGAGCAAACAGAACUAAGAUAUGAGGUGUGGCCAGGCUCCCAGGUAGGGGUGGAAAAAUGGCUUCUGCCCCAGUUCUCAAGCAAGAUAUAUGUGUGACCUAAAAUGUCACGGUCAGUCAUAAUAUAUGUCUCGAAUAAUGACUGGAUCAUUUCCAAUUAUCUGUUGGAUUGAAGGUUUUUCCUGUGUGGUUCUAGAGAGGAAGAGGUGAGGUGGCAGCUGAUUGUAUAACACUGUAUCAUCCUAAGUGCACUGCCUGUGAACAUCAUCCAUUCUGUGUAUGUUACGGCUUUUUAUAUAAAUAU